rnacentral:rRNA from 1 species
UACGUAGGGUGCAAGCGUUGUCCGGAAUUAUUGGGCGUAAAGAGCUCGUAGGCGGUGUGUCACGUCGGCCGUGAAAACCUGCAGCUUAACUGUGGGCGUGCGGUCGAUACGGGCAUCACUGGAGUUCGGCAGGGGAGACUGGAAUUCCUGGUGUAGCGGUGAAAUGCGCAGAUAUCAGGAGGAACACCGGUGGCGAAGGCGGGUCUCUGGGACGGUACUGACGCUGAGACGCGAAAGCGUGGGGAGCGAACAGG